rnacentral:rRNA from 1 species
AUUGAACGCUGGCGGAAUGCUUUACACAUGCAAGUCGAACGGCAGCACGGACUUCGGUCUGGUGGCGAGUGGCGAACGGGUGAGUAAUGUAUCGGAACGUGCCCAGUCGUGGGGGAUAACGUAGUGAAAAUUACGCUAAUACCGCAUACGAGCUAUGGAUGAAAGCGGGGGCUGGCAAGACCUAGCGCGAUUGGAGCGGUCGAUAUCAGAUUAGGUAGUUGGUGGGGGAAAGGCCCACCAAGCCAACGACCUGUAGCUGGUCUGUGAGGACGACCAGCCACACUGGAACUGAGACACGGUCCAGACGCCUACGGGAGGCAGCAGUGGGGAAUUUUGGACAAUGGGCGAAAGCCCGAUCCAGCCAUUCCGCGUGCAGGAUGAAGGCCCUCGGGUUGUAAACUGCUUUUGUACAGAACGAAAAGGUUUCUACUAAUACUAGGAGCUCAUGACGGUACUGUAAGAAUAAGCACCGGCUAACUACGUGCCAGCCGCCGCAGUAA